rnacentral:piRNA from 1 species
UCAAGUUGGUACCAACCAUGUCAGGGCCU